rnacentral:tRNA from 1 species
GCCCCCGUAGCUCAGGUGGAUAGAGCACUAGAUUCCUAAUCUGGGUGCCGUAGGUUCGAGUCCUGCCGGGGGCACCA